AUUGAACGCUGGCGGCAGGCCUAACACAUGCAAGUCGAGCGGAUGAAGGGAGCUUGCUCCUGGAUUCAGCGGCGGACGGGUGAGUAAUGCAUAGGAAUCUGCCUGGUAGUGGGGGAUAACGUCCGGAAACGGGCGCUAAUACAGCAUACGGCCUGAGGGAGAAAGUGGGGGAUCUUCGGACAUCACGCUAUCAGAUGAGCCUAGGUCGGAUUAGCUAGUUGGUGGGGUAAAGGCCUACCAAGGCGACGAUCCGUAACUGAUCUGAGAGGAUGAUCAGUCACACUGGAACUGAGACACGGUCCAGACUCCUACGGGAGGCAGCAGUGGGGAAUAUUGGACAAUGGGCGAAAGCCUGAUCCAGCCAUGCCGCGUGUGUGAAGAAGGUCUUCGGAUUGUAAAGCACUUUAAGUUGGGAGGAAGGGCAGUAAGUUAAUACCUUGCUGUUUUGACGUUACCAACAGAAUAAGCACCGGCUAACUUCGUG
rnacentral:rRNA from 1 species